GAUGAACGCUAGCGGGAGGCCUAACACAUGCAAGCCGAGCGGUAUUGUUUCUUCGGAAAUGAGAGAGCGGCGUACGGGUGCGGAACACGUGUGCAACCUGCCUUUAUCUGGGGGAUAGCCUUUCGAAAGGAAGAUUAAUACUCCAUAACAUAUUGAUUGGCAUCAAUUAAUAUUGAAAGCUCCGGCGGAUAGAGAUGGGCACGCGCAAGAUUAGCUAGUUGGUGAGGUAACGGCUCACCAAGGCGAUGAUCUUUAGGGGGCCUGAGAGGGUGAUCCCCCACACUGGUACUGAGACACGGACCAGACUCCUACGGGAGGCAGCAGUGAGGAAUAUUGGUCAAUGGGUGCAAGCCUGAACCAGCCAUCCCGCGUGAAGGACGACUGCCCUAUGGGUUGUAAACUUCUUUUGUAUAGGGAUAAACCUACCCUCGUGAGGGUAGCUGAAGGUACUAUACGAAUAAGCACCGGCUAACUCCGUGCCAGCAGCCGCGGUAAUACGGAGGGUGCAAGCGUUAUCCGGAUUUAUUGGGUUUAAAGGGUCCGUAGGCGGACUUAUAAGUCAGUGGUGAAAGCCUGUCGCUUAACGAUAGAACUGCCAUUGAUACUGUAAGUCUUGAGUAUAUUUGAGGUAGCUGGAAUAAGUAGUGUAGCGGUGAAAUGCAUAGAUAUUACUUAGAACACCAAUUGCGAAGGCAGGUUACCAAGAUAUAACUGACGCUGAGGGACGAAAGCGUGGGGAGCGAACAGGAUUAGAUACCCUGGUAGUCCACGCCGUAAACGAUGCUAACUCGUUUUUGGGCUUUAGGGUUCAGAGACCAAGCGAAAGUGAUAAGUUAGCCACCUGGGGAGUACGCUCGCAAGAGUGAAACUCAAAGGAAUUGACGGGGCCCGCACAAGCGGUGGAUUAUGUGGUUUAAUUCGAUGAUACGCGAGGAACCUUACCAAGACUUAAAUGGGAAUUGACAGCUUUAGAAAUAGAGCUUUCUUCGGACAAUUUUCAAGGUGCUGCAUGGUUGUUGUCAGCUCGUGCCGUGAGGUGUUAGGUUAAGUCCUGCAACGAGCGCAACCCCUGUCACUAGUUGCCAUCAUUCAGUUGGGGACUCUAGUGAGACUGCCUACGCAAGUAGAGAGGAAGGUGGGGAUGACGUCAAAUCAUCACGGCCCUUACGUCUUGGGCCACACACGUAAUACAAUGGCCGGUACAGAGGGCAGCUACACAGCGAUGUGAUGCAAAUCUCGAAAGCCGGUCUCAGUUCGGAUUGGGGUCUGCAACUCGACUCUAUGAAGCUGGAAUCGCUAGUAAUCGCGCAUCAGCCAUGGCGCGGUGAAUACGUUCCCGGGCCU
rnacentral:rRNA from 1 species